rnacentral:lncRNA from 1 species
GAAGCCGAGGCACAUGUCAAGUACAACCGACUGUGCAAGAGGAUCUGGGAGUGCAAAAGCGAGCAUUGUGAGAUACAAGAAUCCAAUCAAAAUUUAAGGACAUGUCUGUCAGUGCCAACAAGAGACUAGGAUGCUUGGAGCGAGGCAUAGCAGAGUUAGAAAAGAAAUUUCUCAAGAGGGUCGAAGACUGCCAAAAUGCUGAAGGAAAUGUAGGCGGACAUCUAGCCAGAGCCUACCUAUUGCUGGGACUUCGCGAGUUAGGGAAACUAUUCUAUGGAUCUUGGGAUGUCGAAUCUUGGGAAGGUUCUUCUGCGACCAAAUCGAUAGGAGUUUCUUCUUUUUAUGAAAUGUAAUACGGCCAAUGGCCAUUAAUGACAUUUAUUCCUUAUUGGUUUAAUGUUGAUUUGGAAUUCGUCCUAUUUUCUAUCAAUAAAAUGAGGCAUCUAGAA